GUAAAUAUAGUUUAACUAAAACAUNUAGAUUGUGGAUCUAAAAAUAUGAGUUUAAAUCUCCUUAUAUAC
rnacentral:tRNA from 1 species